rnacentral:rRNA from 1 species
CCUACGGGAGGCAGCAGUAGGGAAUCUUCCACAAUGGCCGAAAGCCUGAUGGAGCAACGCCGCGUGAGUGAAGAAGGGUUUCGGAUCGUAAAGCUCUGUUGGUAGGGAAGAAAGAUAGAGGAAGUAACUGGCCUUUAUUUGACGGUACUUACUUAGAAAGUCACGGCUAACUACGUGCCAGCAGCCGCGGUAAUACGUAGGUGGCAAGCGUUGUCCGGUUUUAUUGGGCGUAAAGCGAGGGCAGGCGGUUGUAUAAGUCUGAUGUGAAAGCCUUCGGCUCAACCGGGGAAUUGCAUCAGAAACUGGUAAACUUGAGUGCAGAAGAGGAGAGUGGAAUGCCAUGUGUAGCGGUGGAAUGCGUAGAGAUAUGGAAGAACACCAGUGGCGAAGGCGGCUCUCUGGUCUGCAACUGACGCUGAGGCUCGAAAGCGUGGGUAGCGAACAGGAUUAGAUACCCCAGUAGUC